rnacentral:rRNA from 1 species
UCUUUCCCUACACGACGCUCUUCCGAUCUCUUGUCUAAAAGAUUAAGCCAUGCAUGUCUAAGGAUACGCCUUCGAAUGGUGAACCUGCAUAUAGCUCAUUAAAUCGGUUGUAAUCGGACGAAUCACCCUUUUACUUGGAUAACUGUGGUAAUUCUAGAGCUAAUACAUGCUCUCGGCCGCAUCGCAAGGUGCGGUUCAAGGAUCACUUAUCACCAGCCCGCUUGCGGUCUAUAGGAAUAAUGAUCUAAUGAAAAGCGCAUAUCGCAAGAGCGGCGCUGUUUUCGUCGAACAUCCGCCCUAUCAACUAGUAGUUAUCGUCUUGGCGAAACUAGGUUUUGACGGGUAACGGGGGAUUAGAGUCUUAUACCGGAGAAGGGGCCCGAGAAAUAGCCACUACUUCUAAGGAAGGCAGCAGGCGCGAAAAUUACCCACUCUCAACUCGAGGAGGUAGUGACAAGAAAUAGCAACCCGGCUUAGGUUGGGAUUGAAAUGAGUGCGGUACAAAUUACCACACGAGGAUCAAUUGGAGGACAAGUCUGGUGCCAGCACCCGCGGUAAUUCCAGCUCCAAUAGUGUAUACUAUUAUUGUUGCAGUUGAAAAGCUCGUAGUCGAAUUUCGAAGCGCUGGUCGUCGGGACGCUUUAUGUGUUCUCGGCGUCGGCGCUUCUCCGGUGACGAACGUCCCCUUCACUUAACUGGAGGGGGGUAGCGUUCCAACCCGUGUAUUGUGAAGAAAUCAAUACGCUCCAAGUAGGCAUUUAUGCCUGAAUGUAUUAGCAUGAGAUACUAGAAUAGGGUCCCACUUUUCAUGCUGGUUGUGAUUAUGUAGGGCAAUGAUUAAUAGGGAGUGACGGGGCUAGCGGUAUUGCGGGGUUAGGGGUGAAAUCCGAUGACCCCCGCAAGACCUCCAGAAGCGAAAGCGGCUAGCAAGGAUCUACCCAUUGAUCAAGAACGAUAGUUAGGGGAGCGAAGAUGAUUAGAUACCGUCGUAGUCCUGACCGUAAACUAUGCCGACCAGGGAUUGGACCUAGUCGUAUACGACUCCUACAGCACCUUGAGAGAAAUCAGAGUCUUUGGGUUCUGGGGGGAGUAUGGUCGCAAGGCUGAAACUUAAAAGAAUUGACGGAAGGACACCACCAGGAGUGGAGUCUGCGGCUUAAUUCGACUCAACACGGGAAACCUCACAAGGUCCGGACAUGGCUAGGAUUGACAGACUGAUAGCUCUUUCUUGAUUCUAUGGGUGGUGGUGCAUGGCCGUUCUUAGUUGGU